rnacentral:lncRNA from 1 species
GGGGCCCCUGUGUGGCUCAGUCAGUUAAAUGCUAGACUUUUUUAAAAGAUUUAUUUAUAUAUUUAUUUUGGCGGGGAGGGGCAGAAAGAGAGACUCUUUUGCAGGCUCCGUGCUGAGUGUGGAGCCCCUCAUGGGGCUCUAUUUCACAAUCAUGAGAUCACGACCCUAGCCAAAAAUCAAGAGUCAGACCUCUAGCCAACUGAGCCACCCAGGUGACCCAAACAUCAGACUUGGUUUCAGCUCAGGUCAUGAGCUCAGGGUUGUAGGAUGGAGCCCCGUGCGGGACUCUGCGCUGGGUGUGGAACCUUCUUAAGAUUCUCUCUCUCUGCUCCUUCCCCUUCUAAAAAGAGAGGGAGAGAGAGAAAUCAAGAAAUAUCACAGGAGACCCAGGGCUUGUGUUUCACAGCAUUUACAAUAUGUUUCCAAGGGCUUUGAUGUGGAGUCCAUACUUACUUCCCGUGCGUCCUCAGGAUAGUCACUCACCAUUUCCCACCAGUAAACUGAAGAUCGUGACAGAACCUACCCGACGACAGGGCUGUCAGGGGGUGAAAUGAGAGGACUCGGUGCCUCACACAUAGUGAGAGCUCGAUAAAAGUGAACGGCGGUGGCUUUGUUACAAGGCCUUUAACAAUAAGGUCUCUUCCUUCGUCCAGUCUCCUACCUUCCCAUGCCCACCUCCUGUCCUCCUCGAACUCAAUCUCCAGUCUUCCUUACCUCCUUGUGCGCUCCCCAUGGCUUCCCAAGGCUUGUGAGCCUCCCUCACUCCUUCUGCUGCAGUGUUGGUUCCCACCUUCCAUCCCUUCUCCACCUACCUGACUCCUCUCAAUCCUUAAGACUCCCCUUCGGCAUCCCCUCUUCCAGGAAAACCUGGUUGACCUCACCCUCCCGUGCUAGACGCUCCUCCUUGAGUUUCAGUGUCAACCUGCGCUUCCCUCUCUCUCGUGCCAUUUAUCAAACGGCAGCCCUGUGGCUUUCUGAUGUUUCAUCUCCCACCACCCACUCGUCUGUGAGCGCGGGAAGUCAAGUUCUAGAUUUUCCUCACCUGCCUUCCUCCAGGUGUGAGCGACACGAGCUGUUGCCGCGUGAGUUCAGUGGCAACAGAAAGAGGAGGGAGCUACUUGUCCUGCACCCUCUGGGGGCCAUUCCCGGGAAAGACAGAGAAAAAGGAAACCUGAUGCUCCAGGAUUGGCCAUGGUUGCAAGAUGAAGCUGAUGCCGCAAACAGCCGCGUGAGGAGAUGGCAGUAACCUGGGGCCCCGGUGACAUAGCUCAAUCCCUGAAUCAAGCCCAUCUUACUUCUAAACUUCCUGCUAUUUGAGGUAAUAAAUCUCCUUAUUCCCUAAAAACGAGCUUGUCCCUUUUUUUGUUACGUGCGGCGAAAGCAUCUUCAUGGACACAACUGUUUCUCUCUGUGUUUACCCUAUAUUAGACAUCUUCCAAUAGGCAGCCGAUGCUUGCCUUGUGCUUACUUAAACAUUCUGUCUGGCGGCAGAGACGUGUGUGUGCCCAGGAAGCGGGAUUCGGGGUCAGCGGCGCACUUCUGCUCCCACAGUGUGGGGUUACCAAGAGACGUGUGUAUGUUUGUCCACAAACUGGUUUGGCCAGUUGCACUUGUUUUUGUUAUUAUGCAAAGCAAUGGAAUAUGAGUGAGGAAGUACA